CUGCUCCGCCAGCGUCACGUGGGCGCCCCCUCUGUGACGUCGGCGUCUUCGCUGUAGCAAAGCUCGGCCUCUGGAAUUCUGAGAACUAAUUUGCUAUUCGGUGACAUAAGAGGGGGAGUGCGCUUUGCUUUCCCGGGGUCUGGGGCUAAUUCCUCCUCUCUUACCCAUAAACUCAGCUCCUCGAGCUAAAUACACAAAAGGGAGCGAGAGGUUCGACCCGUUGGAAAAAGUCUGUUAUAUAUAGUAGCUUUAGAGGCGAGUAAGAGCAAAAAACAAUAAACACCACAGCUCUUUCCAGCUAGAAUAUUAGGCACCACGAGAAAAAUAUUUGCCAAGCAGUUUUCGUUUAUCAUGGAAAGAGGACAUAAGGUGGGCAUCCCUGCAAAAGAGCCAUUUGCUGUGGCCUUACACUCAGAGAAGUCCUCAGAGUUGGACUUUGGACAUGCUCUCCACUGAGGUUCUGCUUCAGUCUUAGUGGUACACUGACAGGAUUGAAAGAAGACUUCACACACAAGUUUUGUGUGUGGGUCCUGCCGCAGGACCCAGUGUAGGAGCCCUCCCAGUCUCCCAUGGUGCCGUGAUUUCAUGCUGUUACUACAUCCGGAAUUGUCAUGAAUUGUGUGAUUGUACUGUAAUUGUGUGUAUGUUGGUGUUUAAAAUGUAAAUUUUUAAAUAUAUUUGGACUAGAAGCUAUAGUGCCACAGUAGCAAUGAGCACACCUAAUGCCCAGAUUGUACCAUAAAAUAAGGAUUUGCUAAAAAAAAAAGAAACCAAACAAACACACAAAAAAUCCCUGCAUUGCUGGGGGAUAUUUGAGACACUGGAGCUACCUGAAGAGCUCCCAAUGGCCAAAGCUGCAAAAUUUGAGUGACAAGAUAGAAUAAUACUAGAUUAUAACCCAAAGUAUAAAAUAAAUGUCCACAAGUUUACACAGAUAUAAAUAAAUUAUGGGAAAAAUUAAUGAAUGGAAGAGACAAAUUUCCCAUGCAGAAGAAUUCCAAAUGAUUUAUGUAGAUAUUCUCCCCUGAGGGAGGGAGAGUAUAAUUCCCCUCUCCUUAAGUGUGAGCUGGGCAUAGUGACUUGCUUCCCAAGACUGUGGUAUGGUAAGGGGAAUGGGGGAGGUAAUUUUAUAUGGAGAAACCAGAUUAACAGUACAUCAGCCAGGACAUCAAGGUCAACAUCAACAAAGAUAAACCACAAACAACAAACAAACAAUGAUAAACCGUGUUGAUUGUAUGUACCUUUGAUAUAAGGUGGUGAAAUGGGUCUUUACUCUGUGGUCUUCCUCCCAUACCUCAGUCUCUUUAUGAGAAAAACAUCCGACACAUUCUAGUAGAGGAACGUCCUACAAAAUGCUUGACCAGUACUCCUCAAAACUGUCAAGGUCAUCAAAAACAAGGAAAGUCUGACAAGUUGCCACAACCAAAAGUAGCCUAAGGAGACAUGAUAACUUCAUGUAAAGUAGUACUUAAUGGAAAAAGACAGAAGGUAAAUCUAAACAAACCUGAAUACAUGAUGGACUUUAAUUAAUAAUACUGUGUGAAUAUUGUUUCAUCAAUUGUUACGAAUGUACCAUACUAAGGUGAAAUGUUAAUAAUGGGGGAAACUGGGUAUAGGAUUGUUCUGUGUACUAUCUUCUCAUUUUUUGCGUUAAAAAACCAGAUAGAUAAAUAGAUAUAGAUAUAGAUAUAGAUAUUUGUACACACACACACACACAUAUAAUCUCUCUUUCUCUUUCUCUCUUUUCUCCCCCCCAUACUAGAAGCCUCCAAAAAGUGACCCAGGCUUCUUUUGAAAUCUGAGAGGUCCUGCCCCCAAAAUAGAGUCUGGAAAAUGAGGGAACCUGCCUUUAUUCUUUUAGUUUACUAAAUUGAAAGCAAUUUAACUAAUUUCUGCAUGUCAUCAUCUGGAUAGAGAACUGUCUGGAGGCACCAAAGGCCAAAGGUCAUUAUAGUGGUAGAUGACCCAAGCCACCUCAUCGGUAGGCUUAUUCAACAUUUUUCUGUGGAGAUUCUCUAUGGAAACGGCCCUGAAAAAAUCUUCACCAUCCAUCCAAAUGAGACACACAGAGCUUGAGGAUUCAUAACUGAGGUUGGAGGAGCCCCAAGAGCUUCCCAGAAUGUCUGCUAUUUCAUUGUACAACUCCGAUAGAACUGUGGAUCCCAUCAGUGUUGUAACUCUGGGUGUCUAGGGAAAACAGCUGACUGGACCCCAUGACUCUGUGACUUUGUCUUCAUCAUCUGGAUCUGACACUAUAAACUCUCCUCAGCCUUCAACCUAUUAGUUUUGCAAAUGGUUUGCAAAGACCACCCCCAAAGUUAGUGGUAGAGUCGAUUCCUGUCAACCAGUCCACCCUGAAUCACUUAUUUUGCUGCUGUAUCCACUUUGGUAAGCUGAAGGCUGGUAUUACAUUGAUGUACAUUACUUCAGAAUACCUCAUUCAUUUCUAACCAGUUGUCAGUUACCAACGGUGUCUAGUUCCCAUGCUGUACUUGAGUUUUAAGCGUGUCUUCCUUUUUUUCUCUUUUCCCACAUCUAUCAUCCUCUCUGCCAAGUGGUUAUAAAAUCUUUGGACCAAUACUUAUGUUCACUAUGGAGGUUGACAUUUAAAUAAUUCUUGAUGAAAUGCAGUGAGAUAAUCCUGUCAUACUACAUUUUGGUUAGCAUGACGCUUUCGGUGAUCCAUUUGGUCACAUGUCUCCAGAAUCACCAACAGUCCAGCCCUUGGAGUCAGUAAUUCUACUUCUAGGAACCCAUCUUUGAGGUGCAUACAACAUACGGGAAAAAAUUCAAACAUAUAGGGGAAAAGUCUUUGAAUGAAUAUAGGUGUCUAAGUGUUAUAUCUAACAACAAAAAAUUUGCACAACCUCUAUGUCCCAUUGUGACUGACUUGAGGGAAAAGAUGUUGGAUGGAGAAUGAUGAAGUAUAAUCUGACUAAUUUUUAAAGAUUGGAAUUGGAAAA